GCUCUCGUAGCCUAGUGGUUAAAGCGUCCGCCUCGGAUGCGAGAGGUUUAUGGGUUCGAACCUCCGCAGAGUA